UACGAAGGGGGCUAGCGUUACUCGGAUUGACUGGGCGUAAAGGGCGCGUAGGCUGGUUUGUACAGUCAGACGUGAAAUUCCUGGGCUCAACCUGGGGCUGCGUUUGAUACGUGCGGACUUGAGUUCGGAAGAGGGUCGUGGAAUUCCCAGUGUAGAGGUGAAAUUCGUAGAUAUUGGGAAGAACACCGGUGGCGAAGGCGGCGACCUGGUCCGAUACUGACGCUGAGGCGCGAAAGCGUGGGGAGCAAACAGG
rnacentral:rRNA from 1 species